rnacentral:rRNA from 1 species
UACGAAGGGGGCGAGCGUUGUUCGGAUUUACUGGGCGUAAAGGGCGCGUAGGCGGCGGGUCAAGUCGAGUGUGAAAGCCCCGGGCUCAACCUGGGAAUUGCGCUCGAGACUGGUCUGCUUGAGUUCGGGAGAGGAGAGUGGAAUUCCCAGUGUAGAGGUGAAAUUCGUAGAUAUUAGGAAGAACACCGGUGGCGAAGGCGGCCCACUGGAUCGGUACUGACGCUGAGGUGCGAAAGCGUGGGGAGCAAACAGG